GAGUCAGGAGGACUCCGACGACAGCAUUGGCUGAUUACGGACAUCUACUGAGGGAUGUCCAUGGACAGGAUUUAGUUUUUCUUUCUUUUACUUUUAUUUUAUUCUUGUUUUUAUUUUUUUUUUUAUAUUUUAUCUCAUCUUUAAAAUUCCUAGAAUAGGUUGAAUUUUUAAUUUUGGAUGUGUAGUCUUGGCUUUAUUACUUGUUCUGAAAAUGUUUGAC
rnacentral:lncRNA from 1 species